CCCGCACAAGCGGUGGAGCAUGUGGUUUAAUUCGACGCAACGCGCAGAACCUUACCAACCCUCGACAUGUCCAGUAUGGUUUCCAGAGAUGGAUUCCUUCAGUUCGGCUGGCUGGAACACAGGUGUUGCAUGGCUGCCGUCAGCUCGUGUCGUGAGAUGUUGGGUUAAGUCCCGCAACCGAGCGCAACCCUCGCCUUUAGUUGCCAUCAUUAAGUUGGGCACUCUAGAGGGACUGCCGGUGAUAAGCCGGAGGAAGGUGGGGAUGACGUCAAGUCCUCAUGGCCCUUACGGGUUGGGCUACACACGUGCUACAAUGGCGGCGACAAUGGGCAGCGAAGGGGCGACCCGGUGCAAAUCCCAAAAAGCCGUCUCAGUUCGGAUUGUUCUCUGCAACUCGAGAGCAUGAAGGUGGAAUCGCUAGUAAUCGCGUAACAGCAUGACGCGGUGAAUACGUUCCCGGGCCUU
rnacentral:rRNA from 1 species